UACGUAGGGGCCUAGCGUUGUCCGGAAUUAUUGGGCGUAAAGAGCUCGUAGGCGGUUCGGCAAGUCGGAUGUGAAAUCUCCACGCUUAACGUGGAGGGGCCAUUCGAAACUGCUGUGACUCGAGUCCGGUAGGGGAGUGUGGAAUUCCCCAAGUAGAGGUGAAAUUCGUAGAUAUGGGGAGGAACACCGGUGGCGAAGGCGGCCAUCUGGACGGAUACUGACGCUGAGACGCGAAAGCGUGGGUAGCAAACAGG
rnacentral:rRNA from 1 species